GAUCCUCCUUCUGUAGUCUCAUUGGAACAAGAAGUGAUCCACAGACUGUAUCUACAGCCCCUCCAGUCAAGAGGUGAGGACUAUUCAUUCCCCCACCCAAUGUAUCUAAGCUGGCCUCAUGACUUGCUUGGGACAAUAGAAUAUGAAAGAAGGACACGGAACCAGUUCCAAGGACAAGAAUUGUUCCAGAUAGAAGCUGCUUUUUCAACCUGGUUCCAGAAUGAAGACAGAACAGAAAUACAUCAGAACCAACUAUUGAUGAACAGGAAUGUGAAUGAGAAUUACAAUUCUGUUGUUCAAAGCUAAUAAGAUUUUGGGGGCUGUUUGUUAUACAGCUUAACUCACCUGGACCAAAAUAGGAGGGAUUACCAGUUGUAAUCAUUUGAUAAAGAGA